rnacentral:rRNA from 1 species
UACGUAGGGGGCGAGCGUUGUCCGGAUUUAUUGGGCGUAAAGCGCUCGUAGGCGGCUCAGUAAGUCGGGUGUGAAAACUCCAGGCUCAACCUGGAGACGCCACCCGAUACUGCUGUGGCUAGAGUCCGGUAGGGGAGCAUGGAAUUCCUGGUGUAGCGGUGAAAUGCGCAGAUAUCAGGAGGAACACCCGUAGCGAAGGCGGCACUCUGGGCCGAUACUGACACUGAGGAGCGAAAGCGUGGGGAGCGAACAGG